GAAGAACAGGAAGUUGUGAGCAGCAGAGGAACGGGCUGAAUUCUACAGCAGCCAGUUUUAUUUUCUCCCUGCAGUCACACAACAAAUACGCGAGGCGAGACAGGCGUCUUUCAUUGAUUUCCACUAAGAGCCGGUCAUGGACUUUGUAGAUCCGAUCCUGGCCAUUGCGUCACAGAUCUACUCCCUGGUUGAGAAUGUGAAGGCCAAUAAAAAGCGCUGCCACCGUGUUUCUCAAAGAGUCAAGGCCCUGGAGGAGCUGGUGAAGUCCAUAAAACAGAGGGAGAUAGCCCAAGCCACUGCCGACGUAGGAAAAGCCCUAAAGGAACUCUCCAUCACUCUGAAAUCAGCACAGCAACUCAUCAAGAAGUACACCUUGGCCAACUGGAUGAAGCGCAUCCUGAACUCCAGCAGCCACGGAGACGAGUUCAACAGUGUGAAUGAACGCCUCAACGAUGCCUUCCAGGUGUUGUCUGGGGCUCUGCAGGUGGAGCAGGGGAACAUGCUGUACCACGUGUUUGAACUGGCCUCCAGAGAGAAAGAAGAUGAGGUGGACGGGAAGGAGGAUGACACAGAACUGAAGAAUUUGCUCCUGGAGUACAUGAAGAGCCAGCAAGAGAAAAUGGACGCCAUGCAGAGAGAAUUUGAACAUGUCAAAUUCAACGUGGAAAAGGUCGUGGAUAUGUUGAAUAAGCCCCGCGUCACCGAUGAGGUCAUCCGAAUGAUCAAACCAGACGAACUGAAGUACGAUCUUCCCAAAAAGCCCUUCAUGGCAACAUCAACCUCAGAGGUCUACAAAGGAGAGUAUCACGGAUUCACAGUGGUCAUCAAGAGAUACACGGACCCUGUGAAUGCCAGCCCAGGGGAGGUACGGUCUAUUUUCAAUAAGGAGGUUGAAACCAUGAGGCGGUUUGAGUCGCCCAACAUCCUGCGAAUGUUUGGCAUCUGCGUCCAGGAUGAGGAAGGACCCAACCCUCAGUUCUUCAUUAUCAUGGAGUACUGUGAGAAGGGAAGUCUCCGACAGGUCCUGGACUCUGACUCUAAACUGUCCUGGACCAAGAAAGCUCGUAUGUGUCUGGACGCAUCACAAGGACUCUACCGACUGCACCAGACGGAAGAAAAAAGCAAAGUUCAUGGAUGCAUCAACAGCAGCAAGUUCCUGGUGGCUGAAGGCUACAGAGUCAAGCUUGGAGGUUUUGAGCUGGCGAAAACAGAGACGUCACUGAAAAAGCACACGAAGGACAAAGAGAUCACGUCCCUGUGCUACCUGUCUCCUCAGAGGCUCAACGACAUCAACUACGCCUACAGCAAAGAGUGCGAGAUGUACAGCUUUGGUAUCGUCCUGUGGGAGAUUGCGACUCGCAAGAGACCAUUUGAAGGUGUGUAUCUGCGUGUGACCAGCCAUCGGCAUCCGACCCUAACCCCACACUGACUGUUCUUAGUGCCAGACAUUCUCCUCCCCUAGUCCUGAAAGUCAGCUGUUAAAAAGUUGGAAGAGUUGGAUUCCUUUAUAACGGAGAGCGGUGUCCGUGGUCAGCGUGAAGUCAUGUUGGUUUCAGCGGCUUCCAAGUGUCAUAAUCUGCCCAGUGUCGGGUCUUUGCAAGAUAUCCUUGUGUUCUGUUUGACAUCAGUGUGUGAGUAUCAGCCUGCGGGCCAGACGGCAAGAUUAGUUUCAGCUUCAAACAAAUCAUUCUUAGGAGUCCGUGUCUACAAUCCCUCCUGCGCCGCUGCGAGACACAAAUCACGCAUUCAAACUUUCCAGGAAGAAUUUGAAUUCCGCAUAGUGACAGGUGCAUUUCUCAUCGUUUUGAAUAGAAAGGUUCCACUCAGAGUUGCUACGAGAACCUUUUAAAGCCAGUCUCGCCUGUGCUCUGGUGCCGUGGUUGCCAGCUCUGAACUCAGCUAAGGCUGUUAGAGACCCGGGCAGCUUAGAUAGCGAAGGCCUUAUAAAUGAAGACGCAGGUCUGCUGAUGUCCUCUAGAUGCCGGCGAUGACCUCUGACCUUGUCAUAUAACUCACGGCGGUGAUUGUGACGACGAUGCUAGUAAUGACGCUGAUCCUUGAGGGACACCUUUAUCGGUCAUGUGGGGACCUGAUUGGAAACCCUCGACAACAGUCAGAGAGCUGUGACUUGAACCGGGUGUGAGCAGAAACCCCAAAACCCAUAGGAAGCAGCUUAUUCAAAAUGUUGUGAUCAACAGUGUCAGAAGCCUCGGGCAGACCUACAAAGAGUUCAGCACAGUGUCUCUUUUGAUCAAGUCGUUCAAGUAAGGAAAUCUAUCAGAUGGUGUGCAAAGAGAAAUUUCAAGAACCGCUUCCGGACGACUGUCCUGAACCACUGGGGCAUCUGAUCAGCGCCUGCCGGGCCUACGAC